GCCUAACACAUGCAAGUCGAACGGAGUUAUUUUGAUUGAUUCCUUCGGGAUGAUUGAUUUUUAACUUAGUGGCGGACGGGUGAGUAACGCGUGAGUAACCUGCCUUUGAGAGGGGGAUAACGUUCUGAAAAGAACGCUAGUACCGCAUGACAUAUCGAAGCCGCUUGACUUUGAUAUCAAAGAUUUAUCGCUCAAAGAUGGACUCGCGUCCGAUUAGUUAGUUGGUGAGGUAACGGCUCACCAAGACCGCGAUCGGUAGCCGGACUGAGAGGUUGAACGGCCACAUUGGGACUGAGACACGGCCCAGACUCCUACGGGAGGCAGCAGUGGGGGAUAUUGCGCAAUGGGGGCAACCCUGACGCAGCAACGCCGCGUGAAGGAUGAAGGUUUUCGGAUUGUAAACUUCUUUUGUUAGGGACGAACUCUGACGGUACCUAACGAAUAAGCUCCGGCUAACUACGUGCCAGCCGCCGCCGUAAGAC
rnacentral:rRNA from 1 species